GUUGUGGGUCCCUGUGUGGCGUGAGGCGGGCUCGAGGAGGUCCCCGCGCCCGGAAGCCGGCCCGGCCUGUGUGCGGUGGACGCUGUGGACCCGCCUGCGGAAGGCGGCGGCCUGGGGUGGCGGGGAUGGGGGACUGUGAGGCUGCGCAGGAGCGGGCGGGUCGCUGACGGCUGGUGGGGACGUGGCGUCCGGGGAAGGCUAACCCGCGAGCGCGGGCGGGACCCCAAGCAGUCCCCUGUCUCCUCCGUUCUCCCCGCGCCCCCUGCGGAUUCUGAGCUGCUGUCGCGCCUGUUCCUCACCACGUGUGGCAUCUAUGAGUGAUGCCGAUGCUGCCUCUUUCCUGAGCAUAGAGAAAAACGAAAUGGGAGGAGAGGGGUUUUCUGUGCUGGACGCUUUCGGAAGCCCAAAGACAGCAGGCCUGUAAUGAACGGGGUUUGUCGAGUCACCCAGGGCAGACCCAGGAACUAAGCGCACAGCUGUUGACUUACACGGUCAGAAGAGGAUAGACGUUAACUCAUCAAGAAAAAGCAGUGUACCUUACUCAGUGAAAAUGCAAGGUUAAGCCCAGAGAGUCAUAUCCGAGCUGAACCUUCACAGUUCUUUACCUUCUUCCAGGAGUAGCAGAAAAUGAACAUAGCUCAGGGAUUGGUGUCGUUCGAAGACGUGACUGUGGAGUUCACCCAGGAGGAGUGGCGGCAGAUGGACUCCACACAGAGGGCCCUGUACAAAGAUGUGAUGCUGGAGAACUACGGCCACCUGGUCUCCAUGGGAUACUGCAGUACUAAACCCCGGGUGAUUUUCAAGUUGGAGCAAGGAGAAGAGCCCUGGUCCUUAGAGGAAGAAUUCCUAAACCAGAGGUACCCAGGUGAGUGAGCCCUGACAGAAACACCUGGGGUAGUUAGACCUUAGAGGGGAACACUUUCGAAAGUUUUUUUUUUUUCCCCCUUUUACACAGCUUUAUUGAGA